GACGAACGCUGGCGGCGUGCUUAACACAUGCAAGUCGAACGGAAAGGCCCUGCUUGCAGGGUACUCGAGUGGUGAACGGGUGAGUAACACGUGGGUGAUCUGCCCUGCACUUCGGGAUAAGCUUGGGAAACUGGGUCUAAUACCGGAUAGGAGCCAUCUUUAGUGUGGUGGUUGGAAAGUUUUUUCGGUGUAGGAUGAGCUCGCGGCCUAUCAGCUUGUUGGUGGGGUAAUGGCCUACCAAGGCGGCGACGGGUAGCCGGCCUGAGAGGGUGUACGGCCACAUUGGGACUGAGAUACGGCCCAGACUCCUACGGGAGGCAGCAGUGGGGAAUAUUGCACAAUGGGCGCAAGCCUGAUGCAGCGACGCCGCGUGGGGGAUGAAGGCCUUCGGGUUGUAAACUCCUUUCGCUAGGGACGAAGCUUUUUGUGACGGUACCUAGAUAAGAAGCACCGGCUAACUACGUG
rnacentral:rRNA from 1 species